rnacentral:rRNA from 3 species
GACCUCAAAUCAGGUAGGACUACCCGCUGAACUUAAGCAUAUCAAUAAGCGGAGGAAAAGAAACUAACAAGGAUUCCCCUAGUAACUGCGAGUGAAGCGGGAAAAGCUCAAAUUUAAAAUCUGACAGUCUUUGGCUGUCCGAGUUGUAAUCUAGAGAAGUGUUAUCCGCGCUGGACCGUGUACAAGUCUCCUGGAAUGGAGCGUCAUAGAGGGUGAGAAUCCCGUCUUUGACACGGACUACCAGGGCUUUGUGAUGCGCUCUCAAAGAGUCGAGUUGUUUGGGAAUGCAGCUCAAAAUGGGUGGUAAAUUCCAUCUAAAGCUAAAUAUUGGCGAGAGACCGAUAGCGAACAAGUACCGUGAGGGAAAGAUGAAAAGAACUUUGGAAAGAGAGUUAAACAGUACGUGAAAUUGCUGAAAGGGAAACGCUUGAAGUCAGUCGCGUUGUCCAGGGAUCAACCUUGCUUUUGCUUGGUGCACUUUCUGGUUGACGGGUCAGCAUCAAUUUUGACCAUUGGAAAAAGAUUAAGGGAAUGUGGCAUCUUUGGAUGUGUUAUAGCCCUUGGUUGCAUACGAUGGUUGGGAUUGAGGAACUCAGCACGCCGCAAGGCCGGGUU